rnacentral:rRNA from 1 species
AUUCCGGUUGAUCCCGCCGGGACCUGACUGCUAUCGGAUUGAUACUAAGCCAUGCGAGUUUUUGUAGCAAUACAAGGCAUACGGCUCAGUAACACGUAGUCAAUCUAACCUAUGGACGAGGAUAACCUCGGGAAACUGAGAAUAAUACUCGAUAGAUCAUUAUGCCUGGAACGGUUUAUGGUUAAAAUGAAUUUCGCCAUAGGAUGGGACUGCGGUCUAUCAGCUUGUUGGUGAUGUAAUGGACCACCAAGGCUAUAACAGAUACGGGCUCUGAGAGGAGAAGCCCGGAGAUGGGUACUGAAACACGGACCCAGGCCCUAUGGGGCGCAGCAGGCGAGAAAACUUUGCAAUGUGCGCAAGCACGACAAGGUUAAUCCGAGUGUUUCCUGCUAAAGGAAUCUUUUGUUAGUUGUAAAACCACUGACGAAUAAGGGGUGGGCAAGUUCUGGUGUCAGCCGCCGCGGUAAAACCAGCACCUCAAGUGGUCAGGAGGAUUAUUGGGCCUAAAGCAUCCGUAGCCUGUUCUAUAAGUUUCCGGUUAAAUCCAUUAGCUCAACUAAUGGGCCGCCGAAAAUACUGUAGAACUAGGGAGUGGGAGAGGUAGACGGUAUUCGGUAGGAAGGGGUAAAAUCCUUUGAUCUAUUGAGGACCACCUGUGGCGAAGGCGGUCUACCAGAACACGUUCGACGGUGAGGGAUGAAAGCUGGGGGAGCAAACCGGAUUAGAUACCCGGGUAGUCCCAGCGGUAAACGAUGCAGACUCGGUGAUGCGCUGGCUUGUGGCCAGUGCAGUGCCGCAGGGAAGCCGUUAAGUUUGCCGCCUGGGAAGUACGUACGCAAGUAUGAAACUUAAAGGAAUUGGCGGGGGAGCACCACAAGGGGCGAAGCCUGCGGUUCAAUUGGAUUCAACGCCGGA